CACUCACGCUGAUGAGUGCAUCGAGUUCAGCAUCUUGUCCGAGAACACUUUGAGAUGAAGCAGUCAGGGAUCGACCCGCUAACCACGCGAGAGGAAGUAUGCCGUGAUACGCGAAGAACUCAACACAUCCUGCUGUUGAACUCACUGACACUUGUGACUUUUGGAUUCUUCACCAUACCCUCAUAACUCUGCAUUUAGGGCUGCAAGGAGAAUACCGUCAUUGGGACCUGAAUAGAUGACAAGUCACCUAGGAUGCACAGCUUUGAAGACAGUGGGAGCAAAUCACAACUCGGCGUUUUUGCGAGCCACCUGCCUGUCCACCUGUCCGCCUGAGAUUCGGAAGCACUAUCAGCCUCGCCGUCUCGACCCUUUUGGAGCCCCCCCCCCUCUGGUUCACUCAGCCCGGCUACCUCCGUAAGACGUAUACUCCACCUUCCCUCGUAUGCUGCCUUUUUUCUGCACCCCAGUAAUCUGUUUCUCUUUUUGUUUUGCAGCUUCUCACAGCCCCGCUCUCGGCGUUCCCUGCGUAGUUCACCUCCCCAGUCCCUCAGUUUCUUCUGGUUCCAUACGUUGUUUUUUCGGCUACCCUCACGGGACACCUUUAGUUAUAAUAAAUUUGCUUUCUUUAUUCC
ensembl:lncRNA